rnacentral:rRNA from 1 species
ACUGAACGCUGGCGGCAGGCCUAACACAUGCAAGUCGAGCGGAUGAAGGGAGCUUGCUCCUGGAUUCAGCGGCGGACGGGUGAGUAAUGCCUAGGAAUCUGCCUGGUAGUGGGGGAUAACGUCCGGAAACGGGCGCUAAUACCGCAUACGUCCUGAGGGAGAAAGUGGGGGAUCUUCGGACCUCACGCUAUCAGAUGAGCCUAGGUCGGAUUAGCUAGUUGGUGGGGUAAAGGCCUACCAAGGCGACGAUCCGUAACUGGACUGAGAGGAUGAUCAGUCACACUGGAACUGAGACACGGUCCAGACUCCUACGGGAGGCAGCAGUGGGGAAUAUUGGACAAUGGGCGAAAGCCUGAUCCAGCCAUGCCGCGUGUGUGAAGAAGGUCUUCGGAUUGUAAAGCACUUUAAGUUGGGAGGAAGGGCAGUAAGUUAAUACCUUGCUGUUUUGACGUUACCAACAGAAUAAGCACCGGCUAACUUCGUG